AAUUGUGUUUGUUAGUGCACAGACAGUGCAGACACGCAAAAAUAUGCUCUCGUGGUACGGACACCAUGGUGCCCUAGUGGCUGUGACACAGGGAUGAAUAUUAGCUGCUAAGCCACAUUCCAUUGGAGGCAGAAUACAACAAAAGUCAUCAUGAAAAAAUAAACGCACAUAUAAUACAGUACAAAGAAGUGCUGGUUUAGCCAUUAAAGGGACACUAAAGGUUAAUAUUAACACAACAUGUACUGUUGAAAUACCAUCCCAGAAACCUCGAAACGCUUCGUUUCAUGCGAAGAAAAGACUUAUUUUAAGAGAAAAUGCGUUCUGAAGAGUCCGCGUACCUCUAGUGCAGUUCAAAUCGCCCGCCCUCUGAUUGAGGAGUGGUGACGUCAUGGUCUCAUAGUGACGUUGCGCCGUCGGUGAGUAAAACAGCGCCCUCAGAUGGGGCUACGGCUUUUCUGCGCAAAACGCAAAUGCGUGACCAGAAACAGAGGCAAGACAGAGCCGAUAGCAGCGCGAAAGUGGAACUAUGGUGACUAGCGGAAGGAAAAGCGCGCGACGAUAAGCUAGUUCUUUUUUUUAUGACGCCAACUUCGAUGCUCAUUGCAAUAGGGGACUCUGACAACGACACAUUGGCUCGCGAUGCUGGGCUUGACUUCAGCAAUUUAAGCACUGAUGAACGUGACCUGCUGCUGAGGGCUUGCGCUGCCGACGUCGUUGCGUACUACUACGACGGCAACUUUGUUCUUGCGCCUUCAGGGAGAAUGCAGGCAAGACCGACGGAACAGCGCUACAGGAAAGCAUUGCUUUGAAAGGCACUCCACAAGACUUCUGACUCGACGACGACGAGAUCAUUCAUGAGGUUUCCGCUACAUCGCCGGAUGACGACUCCGAGUCGGCUCCAAUGACUCCGAGUACAAGCAGUGACUGUGCUUUCAGCCACCUAUAGUGACCAUACAACCCUCUCCGAGAUUCAGGCUUAUCUGAUUGCGUGUAAAUGGAACAGUAUGCAAUGGCGCAUUCAUGAUUUCUUCAAGCCUACUGCCGAGCCCGAAUA